AUGUAGAACCUUUUGAAGUUAUCAGAAUAGUCUAUAAAGAGUAUUCUUCUUUUCUCCGUGAGCGCACAAAAAAAAACUUCAACUGAGUAUUCCCAAUAGAAACAGUCCAUCCCCCCCCCCCCCCCCGCGUUAUUUUACAUAGAUCUUUCCUGCAAAACUCUGUUUUUCACCUAAGAAAUCAGAAUUCAAAGGGACGCCAAAGGAGGAGAUGCUAAAAGCAAGGGACCAGAAGCUUAAAUUAAGAAAUAUGGUCAAGGAAAUCAUUGAAGCUUCCUUCUCUAUAGGACAACAUAUUUUUUUCGUCGACAAGCUCAGGGCUCCUUCAACGACUGGAACAGAAUGCCACUUUUCAUUUUUGUCCAUUAUUUGCAACCCUAGAUGAUUCUGAAGAAUGAUGGUUAAAAGACCGAAAUCUGUGUGUGGUGGCAAGCCAAGUGUCAAAUCUGGUUCUGGACAUGUUGGAUAGGAGUUAAUGGCCAUGACCUGAGACAAAGGUAGAUUCAUGAUUUAGUAUUUAUGGAUUCAAGGUAUUGAUUUCUUUGAAAGUAUGGCUUCGAAAUAUUAUACUCCCCCGAUUUUUGUUUUUCAUGAUUCUAACUAUGUAAAUUUUAACCAAAAUUUUAAACUAUAUUUUUUAUUAUAUUGA